UACGGGGGGGGCAAGCGUUGUUCGGAAUUACUGGGCGUAAAGGGCUCGUAGGCGGCCAACUAAGUCAGACGUGAAAUCCCUCGGCUUAACCGGGGAACGGCAUCUGAUACUGGAUGGCUGGAGUUCGGGAGAGGGAUGCGGAAUUCCAGGUGUAGCGGUGAAAUGCAUUGAGAUCGGAAAGAACACCAACGGCGAAAGCACUCUGCUGGGCCGACACUGACACUGAGAGACGAAAGCUAGGGGAGCAAAUGGG
rnacentral:rRNA from 1 species